UGAGGAAUCUUGCGCAAUGGGGGCAACCCUGACGCAGCAACGCCGCGUGAGUGAGGAAGGUCUUCGGAUCGUAAAGCGCUGUCAGUUGGGAAGAAACGGCUGAAGGUCAAUACCCUUCGGUCUUGACGGUACCAACAGAGGAAGAACAGGCUAACUCCGUGCCAGCAGCCGCGGUAAUACGGGGGGUGCAAGCGUUGAUCGGAAUUAUUGGGCGUGAAGAGUGUGUAGGCGGCCUGAUAUGGCAGAUGUGAAAGCCCUGGGCUUAACCCAGGAAGUGCAUUUGAAACUGUCAGGCUCGAGUAGGGGAGAGGGAAGUGGAAUUCCUGGUGUAGAGGUGAAAUUCGUAGAUAUCAGGAGGAACACCGGUGGCGAAGGCGACUUCCUAGCCCUAUACUGACGCUGAGACGCGAGAGCGUGGGUAGCAAACA
rnacentral:rRNA from 1 species